rnacentral:rRNA from 1 species
AUGAACGCUAGCUACAGGCUUAACACAUGCAAGUCGAGGGGCAGCAUGGUCUUAGCUUGCUAAGGCCGAUGGCGACCGGCGCACGGGUGAGUAACACGUAUCCAACCUGCCGUCUACUCUUGGACAGCCUUCUGAAAGGAAGAUUAAUACAAGAUGGCAUCAUGAGUCCGCAUGUUCACAUGAUUAAAGGUAUUCCGGUAGACGAUGGGGAUGCGUUCCAUUAGAUAGUAGGCGGGGUAACGGCCCACCUAGUCUUCGAUGGAUAGGGGUUCUGAGAGGAAGGUCCCCCACAUUGGAACUGAGACACGGUCCAAACUCCUACGGGAGGCAGCAGUGAGGAAUAUUGGUCAAUGGGCGAGAGCCUGAACCAGCCAAGUAGCGUGAAGGAUGACUGCCCUAUGGGUUGUAAACUUCUUUUAUAAAGGAAUAAAGUCGGGUAUGGAUACCCGUUUGCAUGUACUUUAUGAAUAAGGAUCGGCUAACUCCGUGCCAGCAGCCGCGGUAAUACGGAGGAUCCGAGCGUUAUCCGGAUUUAUUGGGUUUAAAGGGAGCGUAGAUGGAUGUUUAAGUCAGUUGUGAAAGUUUGCGGCUCAACCGUAAAAUUGCAGUUGAUACUGGAUAUCUUGAGUGCAGUUGAGGCAGGCGGAAUUCGUGGUGUAGCGGUGAAAUGCUUAGAUAUCACGAAGAACUCCGAUUGCGAAGGCAGCCUGCUAAGCUGCAACUGACAUUGAGGCUCGAAAGUGUGGGUAUCAAACAGGAUUAGAUACCCUGGUAGUCCACACGGUAAACGAUGAAUACUCGCUGUUUGCGAUAUACGGCAAGCGGCCAAGCGAAAGCGUUAAGUAUUCCACCUGGGGAGUACGCCGGCAACGGUGAAACUCAAAGGAAUUGACGGGGGCCCGCACAAGCGGAGGAACAUGUGGUUUAAUUCGAUGAUACGCGAGGAACCUUACCCGGGCUUAAAUUGCAGAUGAAUUACGGUGAAAGCCGUAAGCCGCAAGGCAUCUGUGAAGGUGCUGCAUGGUUGUCGUCAGGUCGUGCCGUGAGGUGUCGGCUUAAGUGCCAUAACGAGCGCAACCCUUGUUGUCAGUUACUAACAGGUUCUGCUGAGGACUCUUACAAGACUGCCAUCGUAAGAUGUGAGGAAGGUGGGGAUGACGUCAAAUCAGCACGGCCCUUACGUCCGGGGCUACACACGUGUUACAAUGGGGGGUACAGAGGGCCGCUACCACGCGAGUGGAUGCCAAUCCCAAAAACCUCUCUCAGUUCGGACUGGAGUCUGCAACCCGACUCCACGAAGCUGGAUUCGCUAGUAAUCGCGCAUCAGCCACGGCGCGGUGAAUACGUUCCCGGGCCUUGUACACACCGCCCGUCAAGCCAUGGGAGCCGGGGGUACCUGAAGUGCGUAACCGCGAGGAGCGCCCUAGGGUAAAACUGGUGACUGGGGCU